UGUUUAACCUCUCUGAACUAUGAUUUUAUCUGUAAAGUACAUAUAUGACUACCUUAUUUUUAGGGUUGGGGAUGAUGAACUACAAUUACUUGUGAAAACAUCUGGUACAUAGCAGAUAAUUUAAAAAUACUGGUUAAAUGAAAUUCUUUCCUUCUCCUAACCCUUCACUUGUAUUAGAAUGUCCCUUAGGACAAACACAGGCUUUUCUAAAUCUUUCCCUCCUGAUUUGUAUGCUGGGUCUUGGUGCCCUGCGUACAAAGAUGUGCAGAAUACAUUUUGUGGGCUCUUAAAAAUAGUCAAUGUGAUAAGGUGAAAUACAUAUGGGAAACACACAAACUGAAAUGAACAGACUGUAUUUGUCAGGAUUCUUUGCUGCAAGGUCUAUAAGCCCAACUCAAACAAGCUUAAAGGAAAAAAAAAAAAAAAAGAAUUUAUCGACUCCCAUAAAUGAAAUGUUCUAGAGUGGGUCUGGGUUUAAGCACUGCUGCAUCCAGGGGUUAAAAUACCGAAGUUGGCAUGCUAUCUCCUUUUCUCCAGCUCCAGACCCUGCUUCUGUGGCUUCCUUCUGAGGCCAGGUCUGUCUAGUUGGUGGGAAGGAUGACUCCUUCUUAUGAGCCAAAAGGACUCACAACCUAUCUUUUCAUCUGCAUGCAGAUCCCAUGGAAGGAUUCUUAUUGACCCUGCUUGGGUCCUGUACCCACAUAUGGACCAGACAGUGGGUCCAAAGGAUGUAGUGCUAUAGUUGACUCAACCAGAGUCAUAUGCCCACCCCUAUGGCCCACGGUGAAGGAUGCAGUGGUUGACCAACUGCAGGAAUGAGGGAGACACAGUCCGUCUAAAGGAAGGGAUGUCAGCAGACAAAACUUGUUUCGUGAACAAGUAGAAAAUACAUCCUUUCCCAUAAGGUGCUUGAUGCUUAAAACUGCCUGCUUUGUGUUAUCCAAGAGGCCCAGCUUCAUUCACUGUUAUUGGGGAAAAUAAAACCAUUUUGAGUGUCUCUAAGCCCCAGGCUCAGGGCCAAGGUCUGGGGUAAAGCAGUGUUAAAAUAAAAAACAAAUGGAGACCAGCUUUGAAAAUUCCCUCAACAGACAAAAGCAGUUUGGUCAUAAAAACAAAGCUUAAUUUAGCUUAUUUUGUGAGACUAACUUGACCUGGGUCAUUGCGUGGUAAUGCCUCUGAAAACUAUAAGCAAAACUGAAGCUGCUUCCCAAGGUUGUUAUGAGGUGACCGCUGACCAAUUCCCUAUCAUGUAAGGAAAUUCUAACAUUAUAACCAAUCAUUGCGAAGAAUAAGCAGUGACCGCUUUCUCGCUGUAGAUGUGCUUUCUAACAAUAGACCUCUGAGCCCCAUUGCAUGUUUUGGCUUGAGUGCUCCCAGUUUGCAAACUGCCUUUUUUGGUGUGUGCACACUCAACUUCUACUAAUGACUACUUUGGUGAGUCAUCGGUAUUGCUGCUGUUAUUUCUGAACUUUUGACAUUUCAUGGUGUGAGAAGUUGAAUUCAGAGAAGACGCCUGAUGACUCGGAGGCCGGUGAGCAAACAGGUGCCGGUGCCCACAGAGUCCGCCAAGCCCCCUGCUUUCUUGCCGACCCCAGUAUUUGAGGGUCAGUCUCUCUUGGAUCCAAGCUCCACUUUCUUUGUGUUUGGAGCUCUCGGACUAUAUUGUGAUUUUAUUUGUGGAAGUAUCUUGUCAUCAUCUUAACCUCUCCGGCGCGUGAUAUACUCGUGAGGGUUUUACAUGCCUGCCGGCAGCCACUCAAAUGCCAAAUGGUAUCCAUCAGAUUCAGAGAACGGGACGAAAUCAAAAACAACCACAAAUAAUGAAGACAGUGACUGCGUGGCCCUCUGUCCUGACAACUCAGUGGGAACACUGAAGGUGUGACUUUUCGAUCUGGCUACAUCAGCAAUGGUAAGCGAGGACAGCAUUCCACGGGUUGGUCAGCUGCCUGAGAGCGUGACCAAAAGGGAAGAAAUGUUAAAAUAAAAAUUGAAUGGAGACCAGCUUUGAAAAUUCCCUAAGCAGACAACACCACUUCAGUCAUACAAACUGGGCUUAAUUUAGUUUAUUUUGCAGGACGAGCUUGACCUGGGUCAUUUCUUGCUUAUGCCUCUGAAAAUUAUAAGCAAAAUUUAAGCUGUUUCCCAAGGUUGAUGUGAGGUAACCACUGACCAACUCCCUAUCAUGUAAGAAAAUUCUAAUAUUAUAAUUAAUCGCUGUGAAGAAUAAGCAGUCACUGCUUUCUCACCAUAUAUGCUGCUUUAUAAUGAUAUUCCCCUGAGCCCCAUUCCAUGUUUUGGUUUGAGCGCUCCCAGUUUGCAAAGUGACUUUUUGGUAUGUGCACAACCAACUUUUACUAAUCACUACUUUGGUGAUUCGUUGGUUUUAAUUCUAUUUUUUUUUCCUCCUGAAUUUUGACAACAGUGAUGAAAAGCACCAGCUCUCUCUCACAGGGCUUCCAGUCCAGUGAGGUCCCCCAAACCUCUCUCUGCAAGGACUACUGCAGCUCCUAAGUGUUCUCUGCUCCAUACGACCCUUGGCUUCCAGGAAUGAUUUCCAGAAGAUUCCAGUUACGGUGCACUAUCUGGGAGAAGUAUCACAUUGUCCUGUUAUCGUCCAUUUCGAACGAUCAGUUUGUUGGCUGAACUAGCAUCUCUCUUGGCAGAGAUCACAGGAUCAGAGACAGUGAGAUGUGAGGCCAGCUCCCUCCAGAAGCUUGUGCUCAGUUCUGGAGGAUCCCACCAUGGGAAGAGUGGGGGAGUUUUGCAAUUUUUUUGGUUUCAUUUUGUAUUUAUAAUUUUAAAAAUGUUGAAUUGUGGUAAAAUACACAAAGCAUAAAGUUUACCAUGUUAGCCAUUUUAAGCAUGUAGUUCAGUAGCAAUAUGGUACAUUCCCACUGUGGUGUAACCAAUCUCCAGAACUUUUUUGUCUUGCAAAACUGAACCUCUGUAAACAUUAAACAACAACUUUCUAUUCUCCCUCCCCACCCCCCAUCCCCCGCCCCACCUCAGCCCUGGCAACCACCAUUCUACUUUGUUUCUAUGAAUCUGACUACUCACGUAAGGGAAAUCGUACAGUAUUUGUCCUUUUGGGAUUGACUCAUUUCACUUAGCAUAUGUCCUCAAGGGUCUCUCAUGUAGCGUGUGUCAGAUUUUCCUUCCUUUUUAAGAUUUGUUAACAUUCCACUAUAACAUUAUAUAUGUUUAUAUGAAUAUAUAAUAUUCCAUGUGUUUAUACCACA